GAAAGCCAUUGCUAACCUUAAUAAGAAAGUCAUUGAUUAGUUUAGUAAAAACAGUUUUAGAAGAGUGAUGGGGUAAAACACUGAAUGGAGUGGAUUCAACAGACAACAGAGAGAAAUUGAUGAUAGCAAGAUUUGCCCCUGCCUAUUUACAUGGGUAAAUAGAUCCAGGUCAGAAUUUUAGGAGAAAAAGCAGCAAGAAAGAAAGUGAGAGGAAAUGGUGACAGCCUGCAAGAGACUGCCAGCAAGAUGGACAGCUGACUCAAGCUCGGAGGAGCAUCCACAGCACAGCACACCUCCCCGAC
rnacentral:lncRNA from 10 species